CAGUCGCCACGGGAAUACAGAGGGUGCGAGCGUUAAUCGGAUUUACUGGGCGUAAAGCGUGCGUAGGCGGCUUUUUAAGUCGGAUGUGAAAUCCCUGAGCUUAACUUAGGAAUUGCAUUCGAUACUGGGAAGCUAGAGUAUGGGAGAGGAUGGUAGAAUUCCAGGUGUAGCGGUGAAAUGCGUAGAGAUCUGGAGGAAUACCGAUGGCGAAGGCAGCCAUCUGGCCUAAUACUGACGCUGAGGUACAAAAGCAUGGGGAGCAAACAGGAUUAGAUACCCCUGUAGUCCCUGUCUCUUAUAC
rnacentral:rRNA from 1 species